GCGCAGCAGGCGAGAAACUUCACAAUGUGCGAAAGCACGAUGAGGGAAUCCCAAGUGCUUGCACGUAAGUGUAAGCUGUUUCUCUGUCUAAAACGCAGAGAGAGUAAGGGCUGGGUAAGACGGGUGCCAGCCGCCGCGGUAAUACCUGCAGCUCGAGUGGUGACCGUUAUUAUUGGGCCUAAAACGUCCGUAGCCGGUUUAAUAAAUGCCUGGGUAAAUCGGACCGCUUAACGGUUCGAAUUCCGGGUAGACUGUUAAACUUGAGACCGGGAGAAGUUAGAGGUACUCCUGGGGUAGAGGUGAAAUUCUGUAACCCCAGGGGGACCACCAGUGGCGAAGGCGUCUAACUAGAACGGGUCUGACGGUGAGGGACGAAGCCCU
rnacentral:rRNA from 1 species